rnacentral:rRNA from 1 species
UGGGGAAUUUUGGACAAUGGGCGCCAGCCUGAUCCAGCCAUUCCGCGUGCAGGACGAAGGCCUUCGGGUUGUAAACUGCUUUUGUACGGAACGAAAAGCCCUUCUCUAAUACAGAGGGAUCAGGACGGUACCGUAAGAAUAAGCACCGGCUAACUACGCGCCAGCAGCCGCGGUAAUACGUAGGGUGCAAGCGUGAAUCGGAAUUACUGGGCGUAAAGCGUGCGCAGGCGGUUUUGUAAGACAGAGGUGAAAUCCCCGGGCUCAACCUGGGAACUGCCUUUGUGACUGAAAGGCUGGAGUGCGGCAGAGGGGGAUGGAAUUCCGCGUGUAGCAGUGAAAUGCGUAGAUAUACGUAGGAACACCGAUGGCGAAGGCAAUACCCUGGGCCUUCACUGACUCUCAUGGACGAAAGCUCGGUGAGCAAAC